AGGCAGGUACAGUUACAAUAUAACUGAAGUGUUUUAUUGUCGUUCCCCCUGCUUAAAGCAUUUGAUACAUUACUAUCUCUGUCUAGUUCAUUCCAUGAUAAGACAAGAGACGCUUGGUGUCAAACAU
rnacentral:snoRNA from 2 species